AGUUUCGCGCCGGGUCCUCUCCGAAAACAUAUCGAAGCAUCCAUCCAGCAUGUGUUGCCACUGCAACCUUCAUCAAGUUUAUCCUUGUCAUGGAAUGAGACAACAGACAAGCUGAAUAAGAUGGAAUAAGACUAUUUGGUGAUUAUACCACAAGUGUAUAUGAUGCAUUAUUGUGGAGUGUCCAGAUGAGGUUGACCAUGCAGUUUCUUUAUAGGUCAGCCACACUUUAACUUUACUUGCUUCAAAAGACCAUUGAUCUUCAUUUGAUUUAAUAUCUUUGGUAACUUUUUAAAUGGAAUUUUUUUAUUUUCCUUUACACUCUUGUCAAGUAAGAAUGUAUUGUAUCUUCACACAGUUUUAUUUCUUUUUCAUUAAAAGCUUUUAACAUCA